ACGUCACUUCCGUUUGGGGCAUUGGAAGGGGCGUGGCUCGUUGUGUGGGCAGUUGGACAGGAUGGAACUCUUCAGGAUUCUAGUUUCCCUCCGCGUGGGUGCGGAGGUAUCAAGGGGUCGGCUCAGUGCCUGGGUGGGCAAGAGAGAAAUGGACCCACAGAGAAAGGUAUUGCCACUGAAGAAGAGGCGGGAUAAAGCCUGUUCCAUGCCAAGCAACCCUGGCAGCAGAAUGGGAUUGGAUCCUGGUGUGGUGUAAAGAAGAAGCAUUGAAAGUCUGCUAC
rnacentral:lncRNA from 10 species